ACACUUGAUAAGCCACAAAAGAUGCCCAUUUUUGUCUAUAAAAUUUCCACAACAGCUAUUUACUACUGUAGCAGUCAAAUUAAGGGCCAGCGGCUGGAAACUUAAUUGUGUCUAUAGAAUUCUCAUCGAGGGGUCCAGAAAGAACAAAUAUUAUUUGAUGAACUCCUGUCUAACACUGCCAUAGAGAAGUUUAAGAGCACUCGUGGAGAUUUUCAGCACAAAGGGAAUGGAGCAGCUCAGUACCUCAGUACUGCCCACGUAUCAGCAGGAGGAACAGAUAGAGCACUGGAGAAGCAUUCUUCCUGUUCAGAAAGUCCUGAUAUUGUCCAUACUCACAAAAAAACAAACUGGUGCCUACUAAAGGAUAUCACUGAAUGGAGUCUCAUGAGCUUCAGCUGGACUUUGAAAGGAUGAAAAGAUGGGAUCAGCUGGCAUGCAGCUAUGUUUCCAAUUCGCCCGAGUCCUGAAACAAUGCAGGUGAUCAUCCUUGUUCUCUGGUCCUGGCUCACUCUCUGCCCUGCUCAGAGUUAUGGCUAUGCUGACAACCCCGGGUGAGUUACGUC
rnacentral:lncRNA from 1 species